UGGGGAAUAUUGGACAAUGGGCGGAAGCCUGAUCCAGCAACGCCGCGUGAGGGAUGACGGCCUUCGGGUUGUAAACCUCUUUCAGUACCGACGAAGCGAAAGUGACGGUAGGUACAGAAGAAGGACCGGCCAACUACGUGCCAGCAGCCGCGGUAAUACGUAGGGUCCGAGCGUUGUCCGGAAUUAUUGGGCGUAAAGGGCUCGUAGGCGGUUUGUCGCGUCGGGAGUGAAAACAGCGGGCUUAACUCGUUGCUUGCUUUCGAUACGGGCAGACUAGAGGUAUGCAGGGGAGAAUGGAAUUCCUGGUGUAGCGGUGAAAUGCGCAGAUAUCAGGAGGAACACCGGUGGCGAAGGCGGUUCUCUGGGCAUUACCUGACGCUGAGGAGCGAAAGUGUGGGGAGCGAACAGGAUUAGAUACCCUGGUAGUCCACACCGUAAACGUUGGGCGCUAGGUGUGGGGUCCUUUCCACGGAUUCCGUGCCGUAGCUAACGCAUUAAGCGCCCCGCCUGGGGGAGUACGGCCGCAAGGCUAAAAACU
rnacentral:rRNA from 1 species